CACUGACUGCUUUUAAAUCAAUUUCCUUCUCCACACAUACGGCUUUUUCUGUUAUGUAAUCAGGAGUCAAGAAGCCACAAUCCACACAAAUUACUUCUCUCUGCUCUUCAGAAAGAAACCGUAUUCAUCACAACAAGACGACCACCAGGGACUCCUCAGAGCCACGUGAUCCCCGUGGAGUUUGGCUCAUUGCAGACCAAGGUCUCUCAUGAAUCCCCCAAGGCUUCAAGCUCCAAGGGCUGGGGGCUGAGUGUGUCUUACUUAUCACUGUAGUCCCAGCACCUGGUGGGACACUACACACAAAGCAGGACUUGCAAUAGUACCUUGAAUUGAAUUGACGAAAGUGGGCAUCCUUGCUGCAUGUGUGAAGGUGACGAUGGUGAGGGGGAGGCGUGCUUCUACUCCAGGUGGUGUAGAGGCAUGGACUUCGAGCAGCGUUGUUAAGCUGGACUCAGCAUCAGAGGUCCUCAGUGGCAAAAGCUAGCGGUGUCCCCGGUGAUGUCAAGGGUUCCUGAGGUCCUCCCGCUUUCCUUUUCACUGGAGGUGGUAGGGGAUUUCUGAGGCAAUUCCUCUUGGUGCCAAGCUGUGUCAGAUUGGAGGAUGAAGUGAAACAGGUAAAAUGCUUUCUGCACUUUUCUAUGUGGUCAUCUUUGAUUUUUAAGCUCCAUGGAGUGGCUGCAGCUUCUUAAUUACAAGCUGGAGCUCUCCCAGAACAAUUUCAUUGGUGGAUAAUUAUUAAAUUGUUUUUGUAGGGAGAACCAAGUCUGGUACCUCCUAACCUGUCAUCUCUGACAUCACUCCACAUGCAUUUAAAAAUAACUUUAUUACAUUCAUCAAAAAACAAUCUAGCUGGACUUUUGAUUGGUAUUGCAUUAAAUUUAUAUUCAAUUUUUAGAUUAAUUUUGGCAAGAAUUGACCUUUUUUUUUAUAAAACUACGUCAUCCCAUCCAAGAGAAUGAACAGUCUCUCCAUAUAAUCAGAAUUUUUUCAGUCCUUUAACAAAUAGUGAAGUUUUAGACAUUCUUUGCUAAGUACUCUAUAUUUUAUAACUUUUAUCUGAUUCUGAAUGUAUUUGGAGCUGUAUUUUGCUGCUGUAGAGAAAUGCUAUUGAUCUUUUGUGAGUUGACCUUAUAUCCAGAAACCUUGUUGAUCUCUUUAACUAAUUAGGGGUCAGGUUUUAGAGGUAGAAUUUCAUUUCCGCUGGCUUCAUUUAAGCUUGGUUCUACUUGCCUUUAUGGUGGGAGUGUUUUAUAAUCCAGGCAUUUUGUUUUUCCUUGUAAGAUAUACAUUGUUGCAAGUAAGACUUGUCUCUGCAAAUGUAAAACUCCAGAGGUCUGACUGGAGGGUAUCUGGGCAAAUGGAUUAGUUUCUUUAUGUCCAAGGAAUAUACAAAUACUUGUGUGUAAAACCAAAAGUCACCCACUGGCCCAGAGGUAAUACUCAGAGAACCAAUGAUAAUAAUCCUUACAAACCACUGAAUUCCCUUACUUGCUCUAGGUAUGACCUUCCUUGCUUCCUCAUUUCUGAAACUUUCAAGGCCACAACUUGAAGCAGAAUAAGCCAAGUUGACAGGGGGCCAGAAUCAGUGUGACUACUCUGGAAACGAAGAUGGAAACACUCUCUCCUCCAUCUAUUUCCCAGGAUGUCAAAGGAAGAAAACUGGAGCAGGGCUUGCAAACCCUGGGAGGAAAUGGGAGCUUCCUCUUCAAAAAAUUUGUCAAGAACCACUGAGUUGUAAAUGAUGUCUGUACAGGCAGAGUGAAGGAAGAAGUUAUGGAGGACACAGAAGUGUUAAGCGAUUUGCUCAAUUUAACAGGAUAGGGAAAUCGGAGCUAUCAUCUUGGAAUUUGAUCUAUAUUGAGAGCUGGUCUAGGCGAGGCUGUUUUCCUUUCCUAUUUCCCUAGUAAGUUUUUUAACCUACAUUAUCUAGACUUUUUUUUUUUUCAGUUCUUUGCUUCAUUUUGCUUGUACAAGGAGUCCUUGAGUUGAUUAAAAAAAAAAAACUCUGAAAGAUGUAUAAAGCUAUUAUGUUCCUGCACUGCUUUAAAGGGCCACCAUUAGUAAGCACAUUCCGAACGUUUGGAUACAAGCCCUACACUCACUGCUUCCAGUAACAAUUUGUUUCAGAUAGUUUUGCUAAUAGAGUGUGUUUUGUGGUAGGUGCUCUGACACCUUGGAAGGCAAUUUCUAAACUCUUCUGGAAACUAUUUGGUAAAAGAGGAACAGUCAUGAGGAAGGAUUACCAAGGGAAAUUUUGGAAGCUGGCCACCCAAUUAGGCAACUUUUCUUCUCCAAGGACCUGAAACUUGUGCUCGUAGUUUCAGGAUUUAUAUGGACACAGCCCUUGAACUCUGACAUUUUUAAAAGAAAUGAGACUGUACCAGAAAUCUGGGCUCAGUCACACCCACAUUGGUCCCCUUGGAAAGCAAAAGUGCUCUUAGGAAAAGACAAAGGACCCACCCCUAAUCACACUGCCAGUCACUUCUCAUAAGGAAAGUUUGCAAUUGUUAGGAAAACACAAUGUUGCUCUAAAUUUAGGAGAUGAAGGAGGGCACGGGAGAGGAGAGAGGAAGAGAAUUAAGAAGAUUGGAGGUGAAAGUGGAGAGAAGAGAAGGAGGCUUCUGACCCUUACCAGGGAGGGUAAGAUAGAUAUUGCUAGAAAGAGAAUCGUGUUAUUGUAGAGUCCACAGCAAAAGGACUCAGACAGUGGAGCAACUGGCAGAUAACCAGGAGAGACAGACAAUGGCUAUUUCAAAUCACAUCUGGCAUUGCCCUUAGCCAUGCGAAAAGAACAGAGGCUUUAGGAGCAGAAAGAGUUGAGUUCAAAUUCUUACUGCACUUCUUUCCACUUGAGUGACUGUUACUUAUCCUCUUUGGACCUCGGUUUCCUCAUCUGUAACAUGUGAGGUUAAUGACACCUACCUUGUAGUCCUGUUAGCAGCAUUCAAAAUAAUGUUGUCAUUUUUUUUUAAAAUCCUUGCACAUUAGAGCUCCUACAGUGUGGUACCCUGGUUGAGGACAAGCCCUUGGUCAUUCUUAAUGGAUGUACUAAAUCCAAACUGCUGUGUUCUUAUUUAACCUGUCUUGAUGGACACCAGGGGGUAAGACCAUGCCCCUGCGGGAAGGGGCGGAGCUUUCCCUGUGGGGAAUUAGCAUCACCACUGCCAUCUUUUCUUGGAUGAGGUUGAGGACAAUCCUGGGACGGGGACAGGAAGCCAAGACUGUGGAAGUAGGCGCAGAGAGCAAGGGGGCACUUCCUCUGUGGAGGUGGGAGGCCUAUCCUGGUUGGCCUUGGGCUUUUCCUCAGGAGACAUGCUGUAGGGCAUCCUCCCUGGAGAGAAGAAAAUGACCCCUCCCAGACAGCGGUCAUCUGGGAGGGAGUCAGAAAGAGCCCCAUCAGGGCCUCCUGGUCCUACGACUCCAAACAAUAGUCUGUUUUGUCUUUUUUUUUCCUGCCAUCCCUGGCUUUAAGCAGAGCUUUAAAAAAGACUUGCAGUCUGUUCUCCACUAUCCCUCCGUAGGAACGAGCCUAACGAAGGAGGCAGGGCUUCAGGGGAAAAUAACUGAGGCCAGAGAGAAGCCAGUCUCCAGGAGCAGGAGGAGAGCAGAUAGAUGCAUAGGAGGUGAGGGGGCCACAUUCCAGAGCCCGAGCUGCAGAUGACAAGCAGGGAGGACUGUCACAAGAUACGUUUGCCUGCUCCAGGCCACCCAGGGACUUGACGUAGCCAAGUAGGGUGGGACAUUUAAAAGGAAGUAUAAACUUUUUGUAAUGAACACAUCAUCCACUUAUUAUUACUGGCAUCAGUUAGAAUCAAGGUGUCAGUUAAUUGUCUUCCAACAAAAGAUUUUUUUAAAAGCAUUUUACCAUUACGGGCUGUUGAUGUGAGUAACUUCCGGUCAUGGUGGUCAGCCUCUCAUAAGGACCAUAAAAGAGCACCCAUCAGCCUCAACGUGUUCCAGGAAAUGGCCGGCUGAAGACACUGGCCAUUUUUCCAGUGCACCCUUUGUGCCAACACUGAACCACCAUUCCUUUUUUGAAAUGUCUCCAAACUGUCCUCUUGCCCCUUUGCAGCUGACCAAGGACAACUGAAGGCCAGUUAAGAAAUCUCCCUCCCUUUCAGAUCCCACCUUAGCGGAAAACCUGGCAAUCAGAACCUUAUCCCUGUAAUUCUUUUUCUUCUACAAAACUUACUCUCUUUUCUAACACCUUUGAACUCCUGCCGAAAUGAAAGUGAUGGCAGAUGGGUUCCCUUGCUGCAAGUUUAUGAAUGAACAGCCUGUGUUAAUUCAUCUUGGAUUGAGUUUGUCUUUGCAGAUGGGAAGUCAUACAAAAAAAAAAAUAUGGCCUUUACCAAGUGAGAAAUUUGGAAAAAAACCCUGGGGAAGUAAAGGGUUUCCAUUUUGUAGUUUUCUGGUUCAGAGGGAGUAUAGUGGAAGAGGAAAAGGAGAAGGGAGUAGGGGCGCUUACGAAAAUGAGGUCGGGCACCAAGGGAUGUCUCCUGCCUUUUCCCUCUCCUUCCUGACACGUCUGUACAAGCCUUUAUGGGAGACUCAAGGGGGCCUCAUGUAGGUAAACAGGCAAGAGGGUCCCUUCAUGGUUUGAAGGCUGGAGAGGUAGAAAGCAUUUAGGGAGAAUAAUGUCUCUUGUCUUCAUGGGUAUAGCAAAUGCAAACCAGGCUUAAUAUAAUUUUUUGAAAUUAAAUAUGCCCUAGAUUAUCACAUUAAAUCAAACCAAAUGAAUAAAUAUUAGACAUCUGCCACAUUCCAGGUCCAAAAUAUAAUUGAUAAGAAACACUGUGUAAUGGGACUUUCUUUCAUUCAAUUAAAGCAAUGCUAGCUUCCCCUAAAGUUCUUACCAAAGAAUCCAUUUCUAAGUGUGGGGUUUUCACAGACCCUAGUGAAUGGCACAGGAGGAUAGGAUGUGGGAUCCUAACAUGCAAUUUGAGCUUGGGCUGAGAGGUUUCAUCCAAAGUGGCUGAGUGUCUUUAUUACCUGGAAACGUUCAGUCCACCAAGACUGAACCAAGAAGAAACUGACCACUUGAACAAACUGAUCGCUAGAAAUGAAAUCAAAUUAGCAAUAAAAACCCUCCCUACAAAUAAAG